AGUUUGCUGAUAAUCAUCCACUUUUCUGAUGUUGCAGAAGAAGAAGCCUCUGUGUUCCGGAUCUUCAUAGAUGAACCUGGAUAUGGAGAUCUCCACUGGGGUUUCACAAGUCACAAGGGAAGGGAAGUAUGUGCAAUCUGAUGUCCCAAGGUAGCUUUUAUAUGGGACAAUGGUUUAUGUUCGUCAAACAAUUGUCUCUGAUGCUUCUAAGGCUUUAUCUCGAGCUGUGUGCAUUGCUGUAAGAUAUAGUUGUGUUUGUAGGCAAUUUGGAUCACAAGAUGGUUCUUCUGAGACUCAAGUACAAUAUCAGUACUCUGUGCUACAUUGAAAAAUAUUCUGACAUACAUAUAUUAAUUUACCACAAUAUCAUCCUCUCGUUUAUCCACCUAAAGUCAUUGAUUACAAAACUCAGCAAAGCAGACUCUUUCCACUGCUGGCUUCAGCAUAUGCUUUUAGGUUUGUUGGUCAAUGGUUGAAGUGGCUAUAUAAUGAUGUAACAGAGAGACUACGAGCCAAUGAUUUUUCAACAUUGCCUGAGGCUCAUGCAUGCACUGCUGGUUUGAAAUCUUUGACAACCUCUGUGA